CGGUGGAGCAUGUGGUUUAAUUCGAUGCAACGCGAAGAACCUUACCUGGGCUUGACAUCUGCAGAAUCUUUCAGAGAUGAGGGAGUGCCCUUUCGGGGAACUGCAAGACAGGUGCUGCAUGGCUGCCGUCAGCUCGUGUCGUGAGAUGUUGGGUUAAGUCCCGCAACGAGCGCAACCCUCGCCUCUAGUUGCCAGCAUUCGGUUGGGCACUCUAGAGGGACUGCCGGCGACAAGUCGGAGGAAGGUGGGAUGACGUCAAAUCAUCAUGCCCCUUAUGACCUGGGCUACACACGUGCUACAAUGGGCGGUACAAAGGGCUGCGAACCCGCGAGGGGGAGCGAAUCCCAAAAAGCCGCUCUCAGUUCGGAUUGCAGGCUGCAACUCGCCUGCAUGAAGCCGGAAUCGCUAGUAAUCGCGGAUCAGCAUGCCGCGGUGAAUACGUUCCCGGGCCUU
rnacentral:rRNA from 1 species